rnacentral:rRNA from 1 species
CUACGUGCCAGCAGCCGCGGUAAUACGGAAGGUCCAGGCGUUAUCCGGAUUUAUUGGGUUUAAAGGGAGCGUAGGCCGCCUCUUAAGCGUGUUGUGAAAUGCGGGUGCUCAACAUCCGACUUGCAGCGCGAACUGGGGGGCUUGAGUGCGCCGAAAGUAGGCGGAAUUCGUGGUGUAGCGGUGAAAUGCUUAGAUAUCACGAAGAACUCCGAUUGCGAAGGCAGCUUACUGUAGCGCAACUGACGCUGAUGCUCGAAAGCGUGGGUAUCGAACAGGAUUAGAUACCCUGGUAGUCCGCACAGUAAACGAUGGAUGCCCGCUGUUGGUACCUGGUAUCAGCGGCUAAGCGAAAGCAUUAAGCAUCCCACCUGGGGAGUACGCCGGCAACGGUGAAACUCAAAGGAAUUGACGGGGGCCCGCACAAGCGGAGGAACAUGUGGUUUAAUUCGAUGAUACGCGAGGAACCUUACCCGGGCUUGAA